AGGGUUGCACCCAUGGCAUAUGGAGGUUACCAGGCAAGUGGUCUAAUUGGAGCUGUUGCCGCCAGCCUACGUGAGAGCCAUAGCAACAUCAGAUCUGAUCCGCAUCUGGGACCUACACCAUAGCUCAUGGCAAUGCCAGAUCCUUAACCCCCUUGACCCACUGAGAGAGGGAUCAAAACCCGCAACCUCCUGGUUCCUAGUUGGAUUCGUUUCCAAUGAACCAUGACAGGAACUCCAGGUUGGCUAAAAUUUUGUUGAGAAUUUUUGCAUCUCUAUUCCUCAGAGAUAUUGGCCUAUACAUUUCUUUUAUGGUAGUAUCUUUGUCUGGUUUUGGUAUUAGGGUGAUAGUGGCUUCAUAGAAUAUCUUUGGUGUUAGUCCUUCUUCAGCUUUUUGGAAAAGUUUAAGAAGGGUGGGUAUGAGUUCUUUGUAUGUUUGGUAGAAUUCGCUUGUGAAGCUGUCUAGUCCUGGACUUUUGUUUGUAGGGAAUGCUGUUUUUAAUUAAAUAUUCAGUUUCAUUUAUAGUGAUAAGUUUGUUCAAAUCAUCUAUUUCUUCUUAUUUCAGUUUUGGCAGGUUGUAUGUCUCGAGAAAGUUGUCCAUUUCCUGUAGGUUGUCAAAUUUGUUAGCAUAUAAUUGUUCAUAGUAUUCUCUUAUGGUUUUUUGUAUUUCUGUAGCAUCUGUUGAGAUUUCUCCAUUUUCAUUUCUUAUUUUGUUUUGAGUUCUUUCUAUCUUCCUCUUGGUGAGUCUGGCCAGAGGUUUAGCAACUUUUUUUUACCCUUUGAAAGAAACAACUCUUGGUUUUAUUGAUUUUUUUCUAUUGUUUUUGAAUCUCUAUUUUAUUGAUUUCCUCUCUGAUCUUUAUGAUUUUCUUCAUUCUGCUGAUUUUAAGUUUUGUUUGUUCUUUUUCUAAUUCUUUUAGGUGGUAGGUUAAGUAGUUGAUUUGAGAUUUUUCUUCUUUUCUGAGGAAGGCCUGUAUCCCUAUGAACCUCCCUCUAAGAACUGCUUUUGCAGCAUCCCACAGGUUUUGAAUGGUUGUGUUUUCAUUAUGAUUUGUCUACAGGUAUUUUUUUUUUCUUUGUCUUUUGUCAUCUUAGGGCCAUACCGUGGCAUGUGGAGGUUCCCAGGCUAGGGGUCAAAUCGGAGCUACAGCUGUUGGCCUACACCACAGCUACAGCAACACCAGAUCUGAGCUGCAUCUGCAACCUAUACCACAGCUCACGCCAGAUCCUUAACCCACUGAGCGAGGCCAGGGCUUGAACCUGCAACCUCACGGUUCCUAGUUGGAUUUGUUUCUGCUGCACCACAGCGGGAAUUCCCUGUCUACAGAUAUUUUUAAAUUUCCCUUUUGAUUUCCUCAUUGACCCAUUUUUUUUUUAGUAGCAUGUUUUUUAGUCUCCAUGUAGUCAGUUUUUUUUCUCAUUUCUUUUCCUGUGGUUGAUUUCUAGCUUCAUGCCAUUGUGGUCAGAGAAGAUGCCUGAAAUAAUUUCUACACUCUUCAAUUUGUUGAGGUUAUUUUUGUGCCCCAGUAUGUGGUUAAUCCUUGAGAAUAUCCAAUGCACACUUGAAAAGAAUGUAUUUUCUGAUUUUUUUUGGAUGUAAUGGCCUGAAAAUAUCAAUUAAGUCUAACUUUUUUAUUGUGCCAUUUAGAGUAUCUGUUGCCUUAUUGAUUUUCUGUCUAGAGGAUUUGUCUAUUGAUGCAAGUGAGGUGUUAAAGUCUCCUACUAUUAUUGUAUUCCCAUCAAUUUCUCCUUUUAUCUCUGUUAGUAUUUGUUGUAUGUGUUUGGGAGCUUCUAUAUUAGGGGCAUAUAUAUUGACGAUGUAAUACCCUCUUCUUGAUUUGAUCCUUUUAUCAUUAAAUAGUGUCCUUUCUUUGUCUUUCUUUAUCGCCUUUGUUUUGAAGUCUAUCUUGUUUGAUAUGAGUAUUGCAGCUCCUGAUUUCCUGUCUUUUCUAUUCACACGGAAUGUCUUUUUCCAUCUUCUCACUUUCAGUUUAUAUGUAUCCUUUGCUCUAAGCUGAGUCCCUUGUAGGCAGCAUAUUGUAGGCUCUUUUUUUUUUUUAACCCAGUAUGUGAUUCUGUGCCUUUUGAUUGGAGCAUUCAUUCCAAUAUUUAAGUUCAUUAUUGAUAAAUAUAUAUUUAUUGCCAUUUAAACCUUGUUUUACAGUUGAUUCUAUGUUUCUCCUUUGCUCCUUUCUUUUUUUUGGGGGGGUGGUUGGAUGAUUUCCUUUUAUUUUGUACUUGUUUUUGGUUUUCGUGAAUGUAUUGUCUGGUUUUGAUUUGUGGUUGCCCUCUUUUUCAAGUAUGUUAACCAUUUCCUAUAUCUGCUUGCUUUAGUCUGAUAGUCAUACAGGCUCAAACAUAUUCUACAAAAAGAAUCUAGAUUUUCUUACUUUCCUUCCCCACAUUUUGUGAUUUUUGAUGUCCUUCUUUAACAUCUUCAUGCUUAUCAUUUUGCUGUUCCUUGUGUUUAUCAUUGCUUUUACAAAUAGUUUUUUUUUUCUUUUUGAUCUGUACACUGGCUUAUUUAAGUGAUUACUUUCCAAAUGUGAUUUCCUCCAUCCUAUAUCUUCUUACGUUUUUCCUAUUUAGAGGAGAGUUUUCAGUAUUUCUUUUAUAAUGGGUUUGGUAUUGCUGUAUUCUUUUAAUUUUUGUUUGUUGGAGAAAUUCUUUAUUUCUCUUUCUAUUUUAAAUGAUAUUCUUGCUGAGUAGAGUACUCUAGGUUGCAAAUUUUUCCCUUUUAGAACUUUGAAUGUAUCUUGCCACUCUCUUCUGGUCUGUAAUGUUUCUGUAGAGAAAUCAGGCUAUUAGACCUAUGGGAGUUCCCUUAUAAUUAACCUUUUUUCUCUUGCUGCCUUUGGAAUCCCCUCCUUAUCUUUAACUUUUGCCAUUUUUAUUAUAAUAUGUCUUGUUGUGGAUCUGUUUGGGUAGCCCUCUGUGCUUCCUGUAUCUUGAUAUCUAUUUCCUUUAGAUUUGGACAUUUUUCAGCCAUAAUUUCUACAAAUAUAUUUUCAAUCCCCUUUUUAUUUUCCUUCUGGAAUCUCUAUUAUGCAGAGAUAGUCUAGCUUCAUAUUAUCCUGUUGAUCUCUUAUAUUGCUUUCAUGUUUUUUUUCAUUUGGUUUUCUGUCUGCUGUCCUGAUUGAGUGAUUUCCGUUAUUCUAUCUUCCAAGUCACUAAUUCAUUCCUCUGUGUUAUUCAUCCUACUCUUCAGUGCAUUUAACUCAGCUUGCAUCUCUGCAAAUGAGUUUUCUAAUUUUUCUUGGCUCCUCCUUAUAUUUUCUAGUUCCCUUUUAAAGUAAUCUGCGUUACUGUUCAUAUCCACUCUUAAUUCCUUCAUAUUCACUCUUAAUUCCUAUAUGUAGAUUUUUGGAUGAUGGCUAUUCUGACUGGAGUGAUUUGAGACCUUAUUGUAGUGUAAUUUAUGUUUCUCAAAUAAUUAGUGAUGUUGAACAUUUUUUCAUGUGUGUUGACCAUUUGUAUGUCUUCUUGGAGAAAUAUCUAUUAGAUCUUCUAACCUUUUUUUGAUUGGGUUGUUUGUUUUUUGAUCAUGAGCCGCCCAGCUGUUUUGUGUAUUUUGGAGAUUAAUCUCUUGUUGGUCUUAUUGUUUGCAAAUAUCUUCUCCCAUUCUGUAGGUUGUCUUUUCAUCCUGCUUAUGGGUUCCUUUGUCAUGCAAAAGCUUUUAAGUUUAAUUGGGUUCCAUUUAUUUAUUUUUGUUUUUAUUUCCAUUACUCUAGGAGAUGGAUCCAAAAAGAUAUUGUUGUGAUUUAUGUUAGAGAGUGUUGUGCCUAUGUUUUUCUCUAGGAGUCUCAUAGUAUCUGGCCUUAUAUUUAGGUCCUUAAUCCAUUUUGCAUUUAUUUUUGUGUAUGGUAUUAGAGAAUGUUCUAAUUUCAUUCUUUGACUUGUAGCUAUCCUGUUUUCCCAGAGACUUUCUUUUCUCCAUUGUAUAUUCUUGUCUCCUGUCAUAGAUUGAUUGAACACAGGUGUGUGGGUUUAUUUUUGGGCUUUCUAUCCUGUUUCAUCCUGUCUGUUUUUGUGCUGGUACCGUACUAUUUUGAUGACUGUAGCUUUGUAGUAUAGUCUGAGGUCAGGGAGCCUGAUACCUUCAGCUCUGUUCCCCCCCCUUUCUUUCUUCUCAAGAUUGCUUUGACUAUUCGGGGUCUUUAUGUUUCCAUAUAAAAUUGGAUUUUGAUGAUCAUUGUAUAAGUAUAAAUGUAAUAAAUUCAUUGAGUAAUAAAAAAAGAAAAAAAAUUUUGUUCUAGUUCUGUGAAAAAUGCCAUUGGUAAUUUGAUAGGGAUUGUAUUGAUUAUGUAGAGUUCCUUGGGUAGUAUAGUCAUUUUCACAAUGCUGAGUUUGAUUAUUUUAAAUACUUCAUAUAAGCACAAUUUUUUUGGUAAGGACAUAUUUAUACUUAAUGGGAACUACUUUAUGUAUAACUCAUUACUGUUUGAAUCUGUGGGACAACCUAAUUUGUGUUAAAGUAAAACUCAACAAUUCUGACCCAUCAUUGUCUGGUUUUCAUUCCCAUUCUUUAAGUCCCAUACCGUCAAAGUUAUAGUUAGUUGUUUUAACACCCACUCUCUCGCUCUUUCUCUCUCUGUGUGUAAAUUAUUUAUUUAUUUUUUUGGCUUUUUAGGGCCUCACCUGCUGUAUAUGGCAGUUCCCAGGUAGGGGUCGAAUUGGAGCUAUAGCUGCCGGCCUACUCCACAGCCACAACAAUGUGGGGUCUGAGCUGUGUCUGCACAGCAAAGCCAGAUCUUUAACCCACUAAGCAAGGCUGGGGAUUGAACUAGUCCUCAUGGAUAGUCGGGUUCGUUACUGAUGAGCGAUUAUGGGAACUCCUUGUUUUAACAUAUUUUUAAGCAAUGCUCAUAAAUGAACUAAUGCUGUUUGAGUAUAUUCUGUAUAUUAGACUUUUUAUAUCAGUGUUCUCAUGAGGAAAUAUUAUCUUUGUUUAUAGUUAGAGAAACCAAGUCUCAAAGAGAUUGAAUAAUGUACCAAAAGAGUUCCUGUUGUGACUCAGCUGGUUAAGAACCUGACUAGUGUCCAUGAGGAUGCAGGUUUGAUCCCUGGCCUCACUCAGUGGAUUAAUAGUCUGGCAUUGCUGUUAGCUGUGGUGUAGGUUACAGAUGCGGCUCUGAUCUGAUAUUGCUGUGACUGUGGUGUAGGCCAAUAGCUGCAGCUCUGAUUCAACCCCUAGUCUGGGAACUUCUGUAUGCUGCAGGCGCAACCCUAAAAAUAAAAAAUGAAAAAAAGUGCCAAAGAGCACAUAACUACCAAAUGUAUAGCUGGAACAUAUACCCAGGUCUGACUCACUCCAAGGGAAUAACCAAAGCUCUCGCCACCAAACUCUCACUUGCUGAAAGUUUGAGUUAUUGGCAUAGAACACAAUUAAUUACAUGU
rnacentral:lncRNA from 1 species